UCCGGCUUAUCACCGGCAGUUUCUUUAGAGUGCCCAACUAAAUGGUGGCAACUAAAGACGAGGGUUGCGCUCGUUGCGGGACUUAACCCAACAUCUCACGACACGAGCUGACGACAGCCAUGCAGCACCUGUGUGUAGGUCCCGUAAGGGAAGGAAUCCAUCUCUGGAAACCGUCCUACCAUGUCAAACGCUGGUAAGGUGGGGAUGACGUGUGGAAUGUCGAUA
rnacentral:misc_RNA from 1 species